GCCAGUGGCACGUACCUGUAGUCCCAGCUACUCCGGAGGCUGAGGUGGGAGGAUCACUUGAGGCCAGGAGUUCUGGGCUGCAGUGCGCGAUGCCCAUCUGGUGUCCGCACUAAGUUCAGCAUCAAUAUGGUGACCUUCCGGGAGUGGGGGACCACCAGAUUGUCUAAGGAGGGGUGAACCGGCCCAGGUUGGAAAUGGAGCAGGUCAAAACUCCCAUGCCUAUCAUUAGUGGGAUCGCGCUUGUGAAUAGCCACUGCACUCUAGCCUGGGCAACAUAGCAUGACCCUAUCUCUU
ensembl:misc_RNA Metazoa_SRP Metazoan signal recognition particle RNA